AGAAGUAUUAAAAAAAAAAGUUUGAAAAAAACCAAAUAAAAUAGACAAUUUAAACACCUGCCAUUUUGGCGCGCUUGAUGUGACGUCACAGUUCAUAAUAACAAACAAAGUCGUUGGUGAAGUUUCGUUUUUUGAUUAAACACCGUUGUUUCUUUUAAAUAAACCCCUAUGGAACAACAUUCUCUCUUCAUAGAACAAAACAAAAAACCCUGAUACAAGUAUUGCAUUGUGCCUAACUGCAAAAAUACAAUAAGAAAUGCUCCAGAUAAAGUAUUCUUUUUGGCCCUGAAGGCGUGGAAAUGAGUAAUAAGUGGUGUAAAGCUAUGAAAAGAGACAUGAUAUAUUCAUCAACUAGUGCCUGUAGUGAGAACAAAACAUAUAUGAACAAGGCUAUUCAAGGCUAGAUAUUCAAAUGUGGUGUCUGUACGUGAUUGCCUUGAAAUUAAAAUUGUAAAAACCAUCAAAUGCAGUCUUCUAAUCGCUAACAUGGUCACAGUACAAGAAAUCAAUACAUUAAAAUAUUUAAUAUUAUGUACUAGUAAAUUUUAUAUCUGAAGGAUAUAGCCGCAGAGCAACAGACAUGAUUGUGGAAGAUUGUGACUUUCUGAAAUGUUUGCCCUUCAAAACUGCAGUUCUGGCAGACAGGGGUUU